rnacentral:rRNA from 1 species
UCAAAGAUUAAGCCAUGCAUGUCUAAGUAUAAGCAACUAUACGGUGAAACUGCGAAUGGCUCAUUAAAUCAGUUAUCGUUUAUUUGAUAGUACCUUACUACUUGGAUAACCGUGGUAAUUCUAGAGCUAAUACAUGCUAAAAACCCCAACUUCGGAAGGGGUGUAUUUAUUAGAUAAAAAACCAACGCCCUUCGGGGCUCCUUGGUGAUUCAUAAUAACUAAACGAAUCGCAUGGCCUUGCGCCGGCGAUGGUUCAUUCAAAUUUCUGCCCUAUCAACUUUCGAUGGUAGGAUAGUGGCCUACCAUGGUAUCAACGGGUAACGGGGAAUUAGGGUUCUAUUCCGGAGAGGGAGCCUGAGAAACGGCUACCACAUCCAAGGAAGGCAGCAGGCGCGCAAAUUACCCAAUCCCGACACGGGGAGGUAGUGACAAUAAAUACUGAUACAGGGCUCUUUUGGGUCUUGUAAUUGGAAUGAGUACAAUUUAAAUCCCUUAACGAGGAACAAUUGGAGGCA